rnacentral:rRNA from 1 species
AUGAACGCUAGCUACAGGCUUAACACAUGCAAGUCGAGGGGCAGCAUGAACUUAGCUUGCUAAGUUUGAUGGCGACCGGCGCACGGGUGAGUAACACGUAUCCAACCUGCCGAUGACUCGGGGAUAGCCUUUCGAAAGAAAGAUUAAUACCCGAUGGCAUAGUUCUUCCGCAUGGUAGAACUAUUAAAGAACUUCGGUCAUCGAUGGGGAUGCGUUCCAUUAGGUUGUUGGCGGGGUAACGGCCCACCAAGCCUUCGAUGGAUAGGGGUUCUGAGAGGAAGGUCCCCCACAUUGGAACUGAGACACGGUCCAAACUCCUACGGGAGGCAGCAGUGAGGAAUAUUGGUCAAUGGACGAGAGUCUGAACCAGCCAAGUAGCGUGAAGGAUGACUGCCCUAUGGGUUGUAAACUUCUUUUAUACGGGAAUAAAGUGAGGCACGUGUGCCUUUUUGUAUGUACCGUAUGAAUAAGGAUCGGCUAACUCCGUGCCAGCAGCCGCGGUAAUACGGAGGAUCCGAGCGUUAUCCGGAUUUAUUGGGUUUAAAGGGAGCGUAGGCGGACGCUUAAGUCAGUUGUGAAAGUUUGCGGCUCAACCGUAAAAUUGCAGUUGAUACUGGGUGUCUUGAGUACAGUAGAGGCAGGCGGAAUUCGUGGUGUAGCGGUGAAAUGCUUAGAUAUCACGAAGAACUCCGAUUGCGAAGGCAGCCUGCUGGACUGUAACUGACGCUGAUGCUCGAAAGUGUGGGUAUCAAACAGGAUUAGAUACCCUGGUAGUCCACACAGUAAACGAUGAAUACUCGCUGUUUGCGAUAUACAGUAAGCGGCCAAGCGAAAGCGUUAAGUAUUCCACCUGGGGAGUACGCCGGCAACGGUGAAACUCAAAGGAAUUGACGGGGGCCCGCACAAGCGGAGGAACAUGUGGUUUAAUUCGACGCAACGCGAAGAACCUUACCAAGUCUUGACAUCCUGCGACGGACAUAGAAAUAUGUUUUUCCUUCGGGACGCAGAGACAGGUGGUGCAUGGUUGUCGUCAGCUCGUGUCGUGAGAUGUUGGGUUAAGUCCCGCAACGAGCGCAACCCUUAUCGAUAGUUACCAUCAGGUUAUGCUGGGGACUCUGUCGAGACUGCCGUCGUAAGAUGUGAGGAAGGUGGGGAUGACGUCAAAUCAGCACGGCCCUUACGUCCGGGGCUACACACGUGUUACAAUGGGGGGUACAGAAGGCAGCUACACGGCGACGUGAUGCUAAUCCCGAAAGCCUCUCUCAGUUCGGAUUGGAGUCUGCAACCCGACUCCAUGAAGCUGGAUUCGCUAGUAAUCGCGCAUCAGCCACGGCGCGGUGAAUACGUUCCCGGGCCUUGUACACACCGCCCGUCAAGCCAUGAAAGCCGGGGGUACCUGAAGUGCGUAACCGCAAGGAGCGCCCUAGGGUAAAACUGGUGAUUGGGGCU